CGUAACAAGGUCUCCGUAGGUGAACCUGCGGNNNNAUCAUUACACAAAUAUGAAGGCGGGCUGAAACCUCUCGGGGUUACAGCCUUGCUGAAUUAUUCACCCUUGUCUUUUGCGUACUUCUUGUUUCCUUGGUGGGUUCGCCCACCACUAGGACAAACAUAAACCUUUUGUAAUUGCAAUCAGCGUCAGUAACAAAUUAAUAAUUACAACUUUCAACAACGGAUCUCUUGGUUCUGGCAUCGAUGAAGAACGCAGCGAAAUGCGAUAAGUAGUGUGAAUUGCAGAAUUCAGUGAAUCAUCGAAUUUUUGAACGCACAUUGCGCCCUUUGGUAUUCCAAAGGGCAUGCCUGUUCGAGCGUCAUUUGUACCCUCAAGCUUUGCUUGGUGUUGGGCGUCUUGUCUCUAGCUUUGCUGGAGACUCGCCUUAAAGUAAUUGGCAGCCGGCCUACUGGUUUCGGAGCGCAGCACAAGUCGCACUCUCUAUCAGCAAAGGUCUAGCAUCCAUUAAGCCUUUUUUUCAACUUUUGACCUCGGAUCAGGUAGGGAUACCCGCUGAACUUAAGCAUAUCA
rnacentral:rRNA from 1 species